AGGAUGAACGCUGGCGGCGUGCCUAACACAUGCAAGUCGAACGUCCUGUCUCGCAAGAGGCAGGGAGUGGCGGACGGGUGAGUACCACGUGGGUUAUCUACCGUGAGGUGAGGAAUACCGGCGAGAAAUCGCCGACAAGACCGCAUAGCCUCGGUGCAAGCCGAGCAAAGCUCUUUCGAGAGAGGGAGCGCCACACGAGGAGCCUGCGCCCGAUUAGCUAGCUGGUGGAGUAACGGUUCACCAGGGCGACGAUCGGUAGCUGGUCUGAGAGGACGAUCAGCCACACUGGGAUUGAGAACGGCCCAGACUCCUACGGGGGGCAGCAGUGAGGAAUUUCGUCAAUGGGGGCAACCCUGAACGAGCAACGCCGCGUGCAGGAAGAAGGUUUUCGGAUCGUAAACUGCUUUUCUCGGGGAAGAGAACGGACGGUACCCGAGGAAUCAGCCCCGGCUAACUACGCGCCAGCAGCCGCGGUAA
rnacentral:rRNA from 1 species